rnacentral:rRNA from 1 species
CCAAGGAGUCUAACAUGUGCGCGAGUCAUUGGGAUUUAUUUUAAGCCUAAAGGCGCAAUGAAAGUGAAGGUUUGCCUUAGCGUAGACCGAGGGAGGAUGGUUCGCGUCACGAUGCGAGUCCGCACUCCCGGGGCGUCUCGUGCUCAUUGCGAGCAGAGGCGCACCUAGAGCGUACACGUUGGGACCCGAAAGAUGGUGAACUAUGCCUGGUCAGGACGAAGUCAGGGGAAACCCUGAUGGAGGUCCGUAGCGAUUCUGACGUGCAAAUCGAUCGUCGGAACUGGGUAUAGGGGCGAAAGACUAAUCGAACCAUC